ACACUCCUGCGGGAGGCAGCAGUGAGGAAUAUUGGACAAUGGGUGGAAGCCUGAUCCAGCCAUCCCGCGUGCAGGAAGACGGCCCUAUGGGUUGUAAACUGCUUUUAUCUGGGGAUAAACCUACUUACGUGUAAGUAGCUGAAGGUACCAGAAGAAUAAGCACCGGCUAACUCCGUGCCAGCAGCCGCGGUAAUACGGAGGGUGCAAGCGUUAUCCGGAUUUAUUGGGUUUAAAGGGUCCGUAGGCGGACUGAUAAGUCAGUGGUGAAAUCCGACAGCUUAACUGUCGAACUGCCAUUGAUACUGUUAGUCUUGAGUAAGGUUGAAGUGGCUGGAAUAAGUAGUGUAGCGGUGAAAUGCAUAGAUAUUACUUAGAACACCAAUUGCGAAGGCAGGUCACUAAGUCUUAACUGACGCUGAUGGACGAAAGCGUGGGGAGCGAACAGGAUUAGAAAUCCUGGUAGUCCCAU
rnacentral:rRNA from 1 species